AAAUCAUGGCUGGCAACAGAUGAUCUCAGGCAAUGGGGUUCCCUGAUAGGCAGAUUGAUGGUCAA